UCCCUGGUGGUCUGGUGGCUAAGACUCCAUGCUCCCAAUGCUUGGAGCCCAGGUUCAAUCCCUGGUCAGGGAA
rnacentral:tRNA from 1 species